rnacentral:rRNA from 1 species
AUUGAACGCUGGCGGAAUGCUUUACACAUGCAAGUCGAACGGCAGCACGGGGGCAACCCUGGUGGCGAGUGGCGAACGGGUGAGGAAUACAUCGGAACGUGCCCAGUCGUGGGGGAUAACGUAGCGAAAGUUACGCUAAUACCGCAUACGAUCUACGGGUGAAAGCGGGGGACCGUAAGGCCUCGCGCGAUUGGAGCGGCCGAUGUCAGAAUAGGUAGUUGGUGAGGUAAAGGCUCACCAAGCCGACGAUCUGUAGCUGGUCUGAGAGGACGAACAGCCACACUGGGACUGAGACACGGCCCAGACUCCUACGGGAGGCAGCAGUGGGGAAUUUUGGACAAUGGGCGCAAGCCUGAUUCAGCCAUUCCGCGUGCAGGACGAAGGCCUUCGGGUUGUAAACUGCUUUUGUACGGAACGAAAAGGCUCUGGUUAAUACCUGGGGCUCAUGACGGUACCGUAAGAAUAAGCACCGGCUAACUACGUGCCAGCCGCCGCGGUAA